UACGUGGCUCCUUCACAUAAAUUUUUCCUUGGGCUGGUUUCCUGCAUGUCUUCUAAGUAUUCGCUUUUAGUUUCCGUGUUUUGGUGUUUUGUUUGUUCAUUUUUUUUUUUUUUUUUUUUUUGUUUUUACGACAGUGCCUUCUAGGGGAACAGUGUCGCUGGGCUGGGCGGUGAAGAGUCAUCUUUGGCACCAUCGUGCGAUCUCAUGCACCCUACCAGUGGAAAAUCCAUUUGGGAUUGCCCAGUGCACACGGUAGACAUGGAAAUUGAUGAUCAGCAUCCCCAGAUACUGUCAUGUCUGAAUGGGAGUCCUGAGAUUGCGGCAGCCCUCACACGAUGAGCCAGAGGAGGAAGCCUCAUGUGAAAGAAAGCAGGACCCACAGCCAUAGUUGCACAGAUCUAUUCAAGCCACACUGAUCACUGCACUAACCUCUGGAUUUGUUUGGUUACACCAGUGAGUUUUCAGUUACUUGCAGCCUAACACGUGUGUUGCUUGAGGUUUAGCUUUUCCGGAUCACCCUUUUUCUUAGUCAGCCCUCCACAUCCAGUACAAGGUGGCAAUAGAGAAGGUUAGCCUACCUCCUACUACUCCCUUGCCUUCCCCUCCUCACUUUGAGUGGGCUCUUUCUCUCACUCAAUUCUUUUUUGGCUUCCCAUCCUGGUGACCUGUAAUGAAGAGGAGUCCUCAUAAUUAAUCAUUUGGACCAACCAUGACUGUAGCUCCAAGUUUGCGUAGAGCCCAGCCCUUCCAUGGGGAACCUAGUCUUUCCCAGAAAAUCACCCUUUGAGCACUUCUCAGUUUGCUUGACAAGUUCAAAGUCAUGAGCAUUUUUGAGGUAGAGUGGAGAGGACUCCACCAGACUAUUUCCCCCUAGGAUGCUGAGGGAGUGAGAAAGAGGGUUGGUGCAUACUCAACUGAAAGGAGACAUAAAGGACAACUGUGUGCUCUUCCAGAUCCAUUGACCCAUGCUCUGCUCUUUUUCACCCUGGCCUGUGCCCUGUGAGACUGAGCUCUGCAGACUAAACCACCCAAGCUCUCUUGCCUUCUGGCUUCUGGAUUGGUAGGGCCAAUAGGUGGCAGCAGCAGGAGAUUAGAAGGAGAGACUGUCAGGUAGGGGUAUUAUUCCCUCAACACUGGGAGGAUUGGCAUCCCUUUAGGACCACAGCUCUUGCCGAGUGCCCUUCAUCCACAGCUGUGUCUCUCACCAGAAUCUAGGAUCUUUUUCUGCCUUUGCUCCUUCAGGCCAGGGGUAGUAAUGGCUCCCUGGUAUUUCUAGUCCCAGGGUGUUUCAUCAGCUCUUAGGCAUUCCCCACUGACCUCUGUAUAUGCCUCUGUCAAUAGAACAA